rnacentral:misc_RNA from 1 species
GAUGAAGAACGCAGCGAAAUGCGAUACUUGGUGUGAAUUGCAGAAUCCCGUGAACCAUCGAGUCUUUGAACGCAAGUUGCGCCCGAAGCCACUAGGCCGAGGGCACGCCUGCCUGGGCGUCACACGCCGUUGCCCCCCCAUCUACUCCUUCGGGAUUGCGGGGGGGCGGAUGAUGGCCUCCCGUGCGCCUAGCCGCGCGGUUGGCAUAAAUACCAAGUCCUCGGCGACGCACGCCACGACAAUCGGUGGUUGCGACACCUCGGUUGCCCGUCGUGUGCGUUCGUCGCGCAUCGAGGGCUCGAAAAAAUGCUCGGCUCCGGCUGGGCUUUCAACGCGACCCCAGGUCAGGCGGGGUUACCCGCUGAAUUUAAGCAUAUCAAUAAGCGGAGGA